rnacentral:lncRNA from 1 species
UCCAUCUACUUUGUCAUUGCCCUCUGAUGUGUAGUUGGAGUACAAUCUCUCUGAUGAUAUGCUUGGUGUGAUAUUUCUUCUGUUGGAAUCUUUGAGCAUUGCGCUUCCCCCAAAUGUGAUAAAUUAUUGCAGCAAAGAGCUAACCCAACACUUCUGCUCGCACUCUGUUCUUGUUCACUCUUUUGGUUUUCCACUUAACUUCCUCCGUCCAUGUUCCCAACUGCCUGUGUCCUCCUAUCUAUUUCAGUACAUAUUGCAGAUAGUAGCAGAGAA